GACGUAUGUUAUUGACUUCACGAUUGCAAGGGAAGCUAUUCAGCACUGU
rnacentral:SRP_RNA from 13 species